rnacentral:rRNA from 1 species
GACGAACGCUGGCGGCGUGCUUAACACAUGCAAGUCGAACGAAGUGGCGAACGGGUGAGUAAGGCGUAAUCAACCUGCCCUUCAGUGGGGGACAACAGUUGGAAACGACUGCUAAUACCGCAUACGGAAGGAGGGGAUUGCGUCUGAUUAGCUAGUUGGAGGGGGAACGGCCCACCAAGGCGAAGGUCAGUAGCCGGGCUGGGAGGGUGGACGACCACAAUGGGAAUGGGAAACGGGCCAGGAUCCUACGGGAGGCAACAAGUGGGGAACUUCCGAAAUGGAGGGAAAUCUUGCGGAGCAAAGCCGCGUGAGUGAUGACGGGCUUCGGGUUGUAAAACUCUGUUAAUCGGGAAGCGGUACCGGAAUAGAAAGCCACGGCUAACUACGUGCCAGCAGCCGCGGUAAUAC